rnacentral:rRNA from 1 species
UACGGAGGGUGCAAGCGUUAUCCGGAUUCACUGGGUUUAAAGGGUGCGUAGGCGGGUAAGUAAGUCCGUGGUGAAAUCUCUGAGCUUAACUCAGAAACUGCCGUGGAUACUAUUUGCCUUGAAUAUUGUGGAGGUGAGCGGAAUAUGUCAUGUAGCGGUGAAAUGCUUAGAUAUGACAUAGAACACCAAUUGCGAAGGCAGCUCACUGCACAAUCAUUGACGCUGAGGCACGAAAGCGUGGGGAGCAAACAGG